rnacentral:lncRNA from 1 species
AGGAGGGAUAAGUUGUUCGACAGUGUGUUUAAUUCCUUUUUGGGCGAACACUCUUCGUUGAAUGACAUCUUUGGUGAUUCUUAAUGUCCGAUAGUGAAAUUUACUAUUUUCUCUAAAAAAUAUCUUGACUCUUCGUUGACUUGAGUUCAGUUCAGUUCAGUUUCUCACGUUCAGCUUGAGGGUUGUAGAGCCACAGGAUAAACCAGAAAAGUUGGUCCCAAAUCAGACAGUUAGCAAAAUUUGAGAAAAUAAAGAUGGAUCGGAAGGAAUUCUAUGUUUGUGUGUAUCGGACGAUGGGAAUUCAAUAUUUCUUGCAACCAAUUCAAGCUUUGGAUCGUAUACGUUCCGAGUGAAUUUGGUCAACCUGCCAUAGGCGACGAAGAGUUAUGGCAGCUGAACUAAAGUUAUCUCCGUUAUCGAGGCAAGACAUUUGAUGGGUGUUAAUAAAAUCUUAAAGGUAUUGUCUGGUUUUAACAAGGUUACCUCUAGGAUUUGGUAAUUGUUGUAAAUGGAUUGAAAUGUAAAUUUGAAAAAACAUAAUUACGCAAACAACAGUGAAAAACCAUCACUGAAAA